AAAAAAUUAAAUUCAGGAUUCUGGCAUUACUGCACACGACCUGAUAAUAAGACCACAUGGAAUUUAAUGGAACUGCCAACAGUUAUAGAAAAGCUAAGUCUUCUAUCUCUGUGGUGCCCCUUUUUUUUUUUUUCCUCCUGCUAAGACAUGUGCAAGAGUUUUUGAAUUAGAACAAUCAUUUUAAAGCUGGCAUUGUAAUAAAUUCAAUCUGUUUCAAAGGAUAAGCCCCUAAUAAAUUGUGCAUUGGCAGCUAGCAAGCGCCUGUCUGGUAGCAGCCAUUAUCAUGUUUAAGUAAUAAGUAUAGCUACUGAUGUGACAAAAGCUACAAACCACCAUUAUUUCUUAGUUUCUACUUUCUACUGGCCAAGUUUUUGGAGAUCAAUUUCCGUGGAUAGCGAUCAGGGGUCUCUGGCCAUGACAUUAACACAUGUUAGAGGUCAGAAGAUGAAGAACAGCUGGAACAUCCCAACCAAGAAAGGAAAUUAAUUAUCUGAAAGCUGGCUUUGAAAGAAAUUAAUUAAAGAAGUGGGGCAGUUUCUUUCUUGUGUGUGUCAUGAUAAGGACCAAGGAAUUAAGAGGUACGCAUUAAUGAGAAGACAAUCAUUUAGUGAUGACUGAUUAUUAUCUAAUCAACUAGAAACAGUCAACAAAUAUAGAAUUUAAUUGCAUGCUAUAAAGCCAUUACACAUUAAAUUAGUUUUUGUUGUGGGUAGAACUCAUGAUUUAUAGUCUGGAAUUUGAUGAUAAUCUUAGAGAGAGAAAAGCAACGUCUUCAAGAGAAACUCAAUCAUUUGCAUAAAUUACAUCAACCACAUGAAAAAGAAGAAAACAUCAAGAACGGUGAUGGGAUCAGGAGAGUAGUACUCUUACCAGAAACUUGGGUUCCCUUCAGGCCACAUAAGGGUGGUAAAAGCUUGAGAAGCAUCAAGAGUUGGAGCAUCAUCAACACCAAAGCUCUCAUGAAAAGGAAUUACAGGACACUUACCUAAGUAACUUCGAUAUGGCUUAGGAUUAACGUGCCUGUUCUUAGUCUCCUCAGGAAGAUCAAACAGUGCCUUCACGGCACCAAACAUUUCUUCACGUAAGCUACCAGGGAUCUUAUCAUAAACCAAAAAGAAGACCCCAUGAGUCUCACAUGCCUCUCUAACUUGGUUGCACAAUUCUUUCCACUUCUCACUCUUAACUUCUAAGCCUGUCAAAGCUUCUUCAGAGAAAUCAAGAAAUGGGAUUUCGACCUUAGCUACAGCCAUAUCUCUCUCUCUCUCUCACUCUCUCACUCUCUCAAUGCUGUUGUUUGCUGUAGUACAAGUACUCCUAGCUAGAGAGGUAUAUCUCAUUAAAUAAGAGGAAGUAGUUCAAGUAUGUCCAAAAAUUGGGUUUUACUUUCGAAGAAGUGAUCUGGGCACCCAUCAUUGCUUCCUA